rnacentral:rRNA from 1 species
AGUCGAGGGGUAGAGUAGCAAUACUUGAGACCGGCGCACGGGUGCGUAACGCGUAUGCAAUCUACCUUUUACAGAGGGAUAGCCCAGAGAAAUUUGGAUUAAUACCUCAUAGCAUAGCAACUUCGCAUGAAGUCACUAUUAAAGUUCCAACGGUAAAAGAUGAGCAUGCGUCCUAUUAGCUAGUUGGUGUGGUAACGGCACACCAAGGCUACGAUAGGUAGGGGUCCUGAGAGGGAGAUCCCCCACACUGGUACUGAGACACGGACCAGACUCCUACGGGAGGCAGCAGUGAGGAAUAUUGGACAAUGGGCGCAAGCCUGAUCCAGCCAUGCCGCGUGUAGGAAGACGCAUCUAUGGUGUGUAAACUGCUUUUGUACGGGAAGAAACACUCCUACGUGUAGGAGCUUGACGGUACCGUAAGAAUAAGGAUCGGCUAACUUCGUGCCAGCAGCCGCGGUAAUACGGAGGAUCCAAGCGUUAUCCGGAAUCAUUGGGUUUAAAGGGUCCGUAGGCGGUUUGAUAAGUCAGUGGUGAAAGCCCAUCGCUCAACGAUGGAACGGCCAUUGAUACUGUCAGACUUGAAUUACUAGGAAGUAACUAGAAUAUGUAGUGUAGCGGUGAAAUGCUUAGAUAUUACAUGGAAUACCAAUUGCGAAGGCAGGUUACUACUAGUUUAUUGACGCUGAUGGACGAAAGCGUGGGGAGCGAACAGGAUUAGAUACCCUGGUAGUCCACGCCGUAAACGAUGGAUACUAGCUGUUCGGAGCAAUCUGAGUGGCUAAGCGAAAGUGAUAAGUAUCCCACCUGGGGAGUACGUUCGCAAGAAUGAAACUCAAAGGAAUUGACGGGGGCCCGCACAAGCGGUGGAGCAUGUGGUUUA